GACGAACGCUGGCGGCGUGCUUAACACAUGCAAGUCGAACGGAAAGGCCUCUUUCGGGGGGUACUCGAGUGGCGAACGGGUGAGUAACACGUGAGUAGCCUGCCCUUGACUUUGGGAUAACUUCAGGAAACUGGGGCUAAUACCGGAUAGGAGCUCCUGCUGCAUGGUGGGGGUUGGAAAGUUUCGGCGGUUGGGGAUGGACUCGCGGCUUAUCAGCUUGUUGGUGGGGUAGUGGCUUACCAAGGCUUUGACGGGUAGCCGGCCUGAGAGGGUGACCGGCCACAUUGGGACUGAGAUACGGCCCAGACUCCUACGGGAGGCAGCAGUGGGGAAUAUUGCACAAGGGGUGGAAGCCUGAUGCAGCAACGCCGUGGGCGGGAGGACGGCCUUCGGGUUGUAAACCGCUUUCGCUCAUGACGAAGCUUUGUGUGACGGUAGUGGGUAAAGAAGCACCGGCUAACUACGUG
rnacentral:rRNA from 1 species